AUUGAACGCUGGCGGCAGGCUUAACACAUGCAAGUCGAGCGGAGAGAGGUAGCUUGCUACUGAUCUUAGCGGCGGACGGGCGAGUAAUGCUUAGGAAUCUGCCUAUUAGUGGGGGACAACAUUUCGAAAGGAAUGCUAAUACCGCAUACGUCCUACGGGAGAAAGCAGGGGAUCUUCGGACCUUGCGCUAAUAGAUGAGCCUAGGUCGGAUUAGCUAGUUGGUGGGGUAAAGGCCUACCAAGGCGACGAUCUGUAGCGGGUCUGAGGGGAUGAUCCGCCGCACGGGGACUGAGACACGGCCCAGACUCCUACGGGAGGCAGCAGUGGGGAAUAUUGGACAAUGGGCGGAAGCCUGAUCCAGCCAUGCCGCGUGUGUGAAGAAGGCCUUAUGGUUGUAAAGCACUUUAAGCGAGGAGGAGGCUACUUUAGUUAACACCUAGAGAUAGUGGACGUUACUCGCAGAAUAAGCACCGGCUAACUCUGUGCCAGCCGCCGCCGUAA
rnacentral:rRNA from 1 species